rnacentral:rRNA from 1 species
GACGAACGCUGGCGGCGUGCUUAACACAUGCAAGUCGUACGGUAAGGCCCUUUCGGGGGUACACGAGUGGCGAACGGGUGAGUAACACGUGAGUAACCUGCCCACAACUUUGGGAUAACGCUAGGAAACUGGUGCUAAUACUGGAUAUGUGCUCCUGCUGCAUGGUGGGGGUUGGAAAGCUCCGGCGGUUGUGGAUGGACUCGCGGCCUAUCAGCUUGUUGGUGGGGUAGUGGCCUACCAAGGCGGCGACGGGUAGCCGGCCUGAGAGGGUGACCGGCCACAUUGGGACCGAGAUACGGCCCAGGCUCCUACGGGAGGCAGCAGUGGGGAAUAUUGCACCAUGGGCGCAAGCCUGAUGCAGCAACGCCGCGUGCGGGAUGACGGCCUUCGGGUUGUAAACCGCUUUCAGCAGGGACGAAGCUUUUUGUGACGGUACCUGCAGAAGAAGCACCGGCUAACUACGUG